UACGGAGGGUGCAAGCGUUGUCCGGAAUUAUUGGGCGUAAAGAGCUCGUAGGCGGUCUGUCGCGUCGGCUGUGAAAACCCGAGGCUCAACCUCGGGCCUGCAGUCGAUACGGGCAAACUGGAGUACUGCAGGGGAGACUGGAAUUCCUGGUGUAGCGGUGAAAUGCGCAGAUAUCAGGAGGAACACCGGUGGCGAAGGCGGGUCUCUGGGCAACAACUGACGCUGAGGAGCGAAAGCGUGGGGAGCGAACAGG
rnacentral:rRNA from 1 species